ensembl:snRNA U2 U2 spliceosomal RNA
AUAGUUUCUCGGCCUUUUGGUUAAGAUCAAGUGUAGUAUAUGUUCUUUAUCAGUUUAAUAUCAGAUACAUCCUCUAUCUGAGGACAAAAUAUUAAAUGGAUUUUUGGAGCAGGGAGAUGGAAUAGGAGCUUGCUUCAUCCACUCCAUGUAUUGACCUGGUAUUUCGGUACCUCUAGGAACAGCGCACACAUC